rnacentral:rRNA from 1 species
CNUGGGGAGUACGGCCGCAAGGCUAAAACUCAAAGGAAUUGACGGGGGCCCGCACAAGCGGCGGAGCAUGCGGAUUAAUUCGAUGCAACGCGAAGAACCUUACCAAGGCUUGACAUGGGCUGGAUUGCUUCGGAGACGGGGUUUCCCUUUUUUGGGCUGGUUCACAGGUGGUGCAUGGUUGUCGUCAGCUCGUGUCGUGAGAUGUUGGGUUAAGUCCCGCAACGAGCGCAACCCUUGUCUCGUGUUGCCAGCACGUUGUGGUGGGGACUCGCGGGAGACUGCCGGGGUAACUCGGAGGAAGGUGGGGAUGACGUCAAAUCAUCAUGCCCCUUAUGUCUUGGGCUUCACGCAUGCUACAAUGGCCGGUACAGUGGGUUGCGAUGCUGUGAGGCGGAGCGAAUCCCUGAAAGCCGGUCUCAGUUCGGAUCGGUGUCUGCAACUCGACACCGUGAAGUUGGAGUCGCUAGUAAUCGCAGAUCAGCAGCGCUGCGGUGAAUACGUUCUCGGGCCUUGUACACACCGCCCGUCACGUCAUGAAAGCUGGCAACACCCGAAGCCCGUGGCCUUAUGGGGAACGNUCGAAGG